AUUGACAAAUGAAUUGGCUAAAAAGCCUACUUAACCGUGACCUCCAUGCAUUGUGCACCGUGUGAUGCAAAUCAAAAGUGAGUAACCCUUCCCAUCCAAAAAUCUAUCACGCUAUUAAUUCUCUUCCCAAGAAAUGCUGCAGACAAAUUCAUGUGCACUCAAUAAUUAAAUUAACAUGCAAAGCCAUUAAUUUCCUUCAGACCGUGGCUUUUACCGAACCCAAUGCUUUGAAUGUUCUCAAAAAGUCUCAUCAACAAAGUCAAACAUGUGCAAUAUACCCACUGGACCGAGAAGCUCCUUCUUANUUAAACAAAGUUUCAUCUCUUCAAUGCUUACCACCNUACACCUUCCUUCCAGCUGUGAUUCACACCCUCUCCCAUCAAAUCAAUUUCUUUUCUCAUUCAAUAAAGUGAAAACCAAAUAUGNUUAAGGGAAGUCCCAUCCAGACCGAGAGAGUAGUACUUUGCAACCAUUUUGAUGAAUUCAUUUCUUCAUUUAAUCACCACNNNANAAGUGUGUCACUUUCUCACUUUAAUCACUACUUCAUUCUCCAACAACUAUAUACUUCUUACAAUCAAACCCUGCUGCAACGAAAAUAGAUGAUGGCUGCAUCAUGCUCUACCGAAUGCCUUUCCAUCAAAUCGCCUCUUCCUAUACAUCCACGUAGCAUCUACUCUCUUUNUNCACUAGGAUGAAAUAUAGCUCCCUUGUGCUUCCCAAGGUGUGACGCAACAACUCACUAAUUAAAUGCAACUAAUGGAAUGACNUAUCUCCUCCUUCCAGCAGCGCAAUUCAGCAAAUAAAAAGAAGAAAAGACGUGCUCCUCUCAUUCAACAAAGCCCAACAACAUUGCAUAAAGGAAAGAAAGUAAANUGUGCNCAUCCUUCUAUUCCAUGAAAAUAAAAUAUCAUAAAAAUGCAUUCNAGUUGAAGAGAAAAGUUUUUGUUCCCCAGACCAAGGUGUUCUCUCGGCAAAGAGAGUUUUCAGCCAAAAACCUAUGGAAUUUCUCUCUCCAC
rnacentral:lncRNA from 1 species